GGGUCGAUGCCCGAGCGGUUAAUGGGGACGGACUGUAAAUUCGUUGGCAUAAUGUCUACGCUGGUUCAAAUCCAGCUCGGCCCA
rnacentral:tRNA from 2 species